rnacentral:lncRNA from 1 species
AAUUGUCUCUAUAGAUUGAGCAUGAAAAAUAAAAUAAAAUAAAAAUUAACGAUCUCUUUACAUAAAAGCAUUCAAUAUCAGACAAAAUUUGAAAAAAAAAUUCAAAAGUUAAGAAUAAAUGGAUAAGCACAUAAAUUUAUAAAGAAUGAGAAAUGCUUCCCUAAUCCCUCAUAGACUCCAACAUAAAAAAAAAUCAACAAAAGACCAUUU